UAGGUCGACCCGCUGAACUUAAGCAUAUCAGUAAGCGGAGGAAAAGAAAGUAACAACGAUUUCCUUAGUAGUGGCGAACGAACAGGAAUUAGCCCAAUGCCGAAUCCCACACUUGAUGUGGGACAUGUGGCGUAUGGUACUGGUCAUAAGGUUUAUUGUUGCUGUUUAAAGUUCACUUGAUUGUGGCAUUAGUCCCAUAGAGGGUGUAAGGCCCGUUUAGACAGCACAAUGCUCCUAGAUCAGUCCCGAGAGUAGAGUUGUUUGGGAAUGCAGCUCAAAUAUGGGAGGUAAACUCCUCCUAAGGCUAAAUACAACACGAGUCCGAUAGCGAACAAGUACCAUGAGGGAAAGUUGAAAAGAACUUUGAAGAGAGAGUUCAACAGUGCGUGAAACCGCUCAAAGGGAACCAGGUAGAGCUGAAGGAGUCAUGGCUCAUUUGGACUUCAUGUUGGCUAUGUGGUGAAUGCAGAGACUUCUUGCUCGGUUUGCUAUGUAUGUUAAUGUGAUGUUCUAUUUUGCUAUGCUGACACCACGACCAGUAGCUAUACUAGUCUGGCAAUUUUGGGAAGGUGACUUGCUUCGGUAAGUGUUAUAGCCCAUGAUUCUAGCACUAGUUCACUACUGGGUACAUGGAUUGCUUUAAUGUGAGGUUGAGAAGUGAAGCUGCCAUGUUAACUCAAAAGAGAUAGUAUGGCUGUCUUAGCUUUUUGACAUUACCUCUUUGGUGGUCUUUUGUGGUGAUAUUGUAGGCAUUCUACCUGACCCGUCUUGAAACACGGACCAAGGAGUUUAACAUGUACGCGAGUCAUUGGGUCGUACGAAACCUAAAGGCGUAGUGAAGGUAAAGGCUAACCUCUGUUAGCUCAGGUAGGAUCCUGGAUUUCACUGGGCAGCAAUGCACAUGGUCUAGGCGCACUACCAGCUCGUCCCAUGCUUUAUAAAGCGGGGCGAAGCAAGAGCGUACAUGUUGAGACCCGAAAGAUGGUGAACUAUGCUUGAGUAGGUUGAAGCCAGAGGAAACUCUGGUGGAGGACCGUAGCGAUUCUGACGUGCAAAUCGAUCGUCAAACUUGAGUAUAGGGGCGAAAGACUAAUCGAACCAUCUAGUAGCUGGUUCCGCCCGAAGUUUCCCUCAGGAUAGCUGGCGCUCAUGAAUCAAACAGUUUUAUCCGGUAAAGCGAAUGAUUAGCAGUAUUGGGGAUGAAAUAUCCUCAACUGAUUCUCAAACUUUAAAUGGGUGAGAUGCUCAACUCUCUUAAAUAUGGAGUUGUAGCGUUGAAUGUGAGUGCCUAGUGGGCCAUUUUUGGUAAGCAGAACUGGCGAUGAGGGAUGAACCUAACGUCUAGUUAAGGAGCCAAACACAACGCUCAUGAGACACCACAAAAGGUGUUGGUUGAUUUUGACAGCAGGACGGUGGCCAUGGAAGUCGGAAUCCGCUAAGGAGUGUGUAACAACUCACCUGCCGAAUCAACCAGCCCUGAAAAUGGAUGGCGCUGUAGCGUUGGUCCUAUACUAGACCGUUACCGCGAAGCAGUAUGUGGUAACGUGUAGGGCGGCGCAGUGGUAAGCAUCGAAGUCUGGGCCGUGAGGCUGGAUGGAGCUGCCACUGGUGCAGAUCUUGGUGGUAGUAGCAAAUAUACAAGUGAGAACCUUGUAGACUGAAGUGGAGAAGGGUUCC
rnacentral:rRNA from 1 species